UACGUAGGGUCCGAGCGUUUGUCCGGAAUUACUGGGCGUAAAGAGCUCGUAGGUGGUUUGUCGCGUUGUUCGUGAAAACUCACAGCUCAACUGUGGGCGUGCGGGCGAUACGGGCAGACUAGAGUACUGCAGGGGGAGACUGGAAUUCCUGGUGUAGCGGUGGAAUGCGCAGAUAUCAGGAGGAACACCGGUGGCGAAGGCGGGUCUCUGGGCAGUAACUGACGCUGAGGAGCGAAAGCGUGGGGAGCAAACAGG
rnacentral:rRNA from 1 species